rnacentral:rRNA from 1 species
UGAGGAAUAUUGGUCAAUGGGCGCAAGCCUGAACCAGCCAUCCCGCGUGCAGGAAGACGGCCCUAUGGGUUGUAAACUGCUUUUCCAGGGAGAGAAACCUGCGCACGUGUUGCGCAAUUGACGGUACCCUGGGAAUAAGCAUCGGCUAACUACGUGCCAGCAGCCGCGGUAAUACGUAGGGGGCAAGCGUUGUCCGGAUUUACUGGGUGUAAAGGGCGCGUAGGCGGGUUGAUAAGUUAGAGGUGAAAUCCUGCGGCUUAACCGCAGAACUGCCCCUAAUACUGUCAAUCUUGAGUUCAGAAGAGAGAAGCGGAAUUCCAGGUGUAGUGGUGAAAUACGUAGAUAUCUGGAAGAACACCAGUUGCGAAGGCGGCUUCUUGGUCUGACACUGACGCUGAGGCGCGAAAGCGUGGGGAGCAAACAG